GCGCGCAUGCGCGCGGUGCCUUGGUUCGCUGAUGGCGGGGGCGCGCGGCUAGUUCCCCUCACGGAGGCCUCGGCAGAGGCCCUGGCGGGACAGCGCCCUCGCCUCUGCUUUGGCUUCCAGACAGUGAGAGACUAUCCACGUCAGUCCCCUCCCGCAGCCGAGCGUGAAAACCAGUAUUGUCGAUGGAACUGUAUGGUUUUAACCGCGGCGCCCACGUGCGGCCGGUAGCCAUGAUCCCACCAGUGACCUGGGGAUAUGGAGUAUAAAAGCCUGGUGCGGUGUGGGCCUCAGGCCGGUGACAAAAUGGCUACCGCAGAUGGUGCUCUGUGCUCUGUGUCAGCCGGUGGUGUUGGGCUGCCCUGGCGACACGGCGGAUCCCAUCGUGAGCAUCGUGCAGGAGUGAACUUUCACAGCUGAUUUUGAUGCAGCUCCAAACUGGUAGCAAGUGACUUUGCUGUUUCUCACUCGUCCUAAAUAAAUAAGUAUAUUGUCAUUUGUAUCCAGUGGAAACACAUAUCAGAAUCCUGUACCUGUUUUUGGUAUCUGCUGGACUAGUGCUGCUAACUUCUGUCUCAGCCUGCUGAUCUGCCAGAACUGUACUUGCCAAAGCAGAAUUAUAGGGAAGAUUGCUGUAGUUCAAGUGGAUCGUGUGUUCACAACACCCUGUGAAACGAAGCGUUUGGAGGCAAUAACCCCAGAGCAGGAGAUCCAGUGAUGGCUGAAGAGUACAUGACACAAGCUGGCAGGUGGUACAGGAGGAAAGAAGACAGUCUGGGGAUCCAAGGGGAGAGAAGGAAGAUUCACCUUUCAGUGAGUACAAGCUCUUAAAAACUUACUCAGAUGUGAUGUGUAACUUCAUGUCAAAAUUAAACAGCCUAGGUUAAAACAUUCAGUUAGAAUGUUUGGUGGUGACAUGGUAAAGCAUCCUCAUUAAGAGCUUUCUCAAGGCAGAACAUUUCUAGUACUGUUAAGAAAUUUGACAGCCUAGUUACCCUGGACUGAGCUUUUUGACUCCGACCUUACUCCUUUUUUGAACUUUGAUUUUAAAACACAUUACACAGGGCAGAGUUACCUUGCAAUAUUUUUAUAUGGCAUAGGACUUCUGUCCUUUUACAAAUGUACAGGACAAAGUGUUAGAGUUAUUGAUCAACAACACAACAUUUCCGUCCUUUGUAUAGACUAAUAAACUCAAGAAACAAUUGGUUUAAUUAUUAUUUUAAGUCCUUUACUCAAAUUCAACCAAGUUUUUUUUAAGCUACACCUUCCUUCCUUCAACUACUUAUCUUUCUUGUAUGUGUCCAAAGAGGUAGCUGAUU